AACUCCUCUUGUCUUUGCAGGAUGUAUACAGGCUGGAAUAUUCAAAGGUCCUUCAACCUCCACUUUCAACCAAGAUGGACUGGCCUUCCUGACUGAAGCCACCAACAAAAGCCAGGAAAAUCUGUGAACCAAUGUUUUUCAAGACACUGGAUAUCAGUAAACAAAAGAUAUGGUGGUCCAUGGGAGACGGGAGAAAAACAAAAUGAGCCCUACAAUUUUCCCAGCUUAUGCCUAAAGAGAGAUUCCAAGAUGUGGCACAGGAAAGGGAAACUAGGGAGAGCUUAAUGAAAUUCCUGAAUUGAGGAGACAGCUUAGACUCUGGAGAGACCAAGUGGCUAACAUUCAUGGGAGAAUAUACAGCUGCACAAGGAGAACUCCAAGGGUCUGUGUAAGUUCCCCCUCAAAUAUUCAGCUAUGUGUGCAUGUGAGAAAACCACUUAAGAUCAGAGAAAGUGCCAGCUGAAAGAGUGAACAGUACUUAAAACUCCCAAAAGCCUACAAAUAGUUCCUGCUAGCCAGACUUGAAACCCCAUAAUUCAUAGGGCAUUAAGUAGAAUACUCAGAAGGGUCUAGAUUUAGUAGAGAAUAAUUUGCC
rnacentral:lncRNA from 1 species